rnacentral:siRNA from 1 species
GAACUGCACCGCACUUCUCCCGCA